rnacentral:rRNA from 1 species
UAACUGGUUGAUCCUGCCAGUAUCAUAUGCUUGUCUCAAAGAUUAAGCCAUGCAUGUCUAAGUAUAAGCACUUGUACUGUGAAACUGCGAAUGGCUCAUUAAAUCAGUUAUCGUUUAUUUGAUUGUACUCUCUUACUACUUGGAUAACCGUAGUAAUUCUAGAGCUAAUACAUGCGAAAAGUCCCGACUCUCGUGGAAGGGAUGUAUUUAUUAGAUUAAAAACCAAUGCGGCUUAACGGCCGCUUACCCAAUUGGUGAUUCAUAGUAACUGUUCGAAUCGCAUGGCCUUCUCUGUUCGUGCCGGCGAUGUUUCAUUCAAAUUUCUGCCCUAUCAACUGUCGAUGGUAAGGUAGUGGCUUACCAUGGUUGUAACGGGUGACGGAGAAUUAGGGUUCGAUUCCGGAGAGGGAGCCUGAGAAACGGCUACCACAUCCAAGGAAGGCAGCAGGCGCGCAAAUUACCCAAUCCUGACGUGGGGAGGUAGUGACAAAAAUAACAAUACAGGGCUUUUUUGUAGUCUUGUAAUUGGAAUGAGUACAAUUUAAAUCUCUUAACGAGGACCAAUUGGAGGGCAAGUCUGGUGCCAGCAGCCGCGGUAAUUCCAGCUCCAAUAGCGUAUUGUAAAGUUGUUGCAGCUAAAAAGCUCGUAGUUGGAUUUCGGGCUCGACGGCGACGGUCAGCCGCAAGGUAUGUCACUGUCGACGUUGGCCUUCUUCGCGCAGACUUCGCGUGCUCUUAACUGAGUGUGCGUUGGAUACGCGACGUUUACUUUGAAAAAAUUAGAGUGUUCAAAGCAGGCUUGUGCUUGGAUACAUAAGCAUGGAAUACUGGAAUAGGACUUUGGUUCUAUUUUCCGUUGGUUUCUGGAACCGAAGUAAUGAUUAAUAGGGACAGUUGGGGGCAUUCGUAUUUCGUUGUCAGAGGUGAAAUUCUUGGAUUUACGAAAGA